UACGUAGGGUGCGAGCGUUGUCCGGAAUUAUUGGGCGUAAAGAGCUCGUAGGCGGCUUGUCGCGUCGUCUGUGAAAUCCCGCGGCUCAACUGCGGGUCUGCAGUCGAUACGGGCAGGCUAGAGUUCGGUAGGGGAGACUGGAAUUCCUGGUGUAGCGGUGAAAUGCGCAGAUAUCAGGAGGAACACCGGUGGCGAAGGCGGGUCUCUGGGCCGAUACUGACGCUGAGAAGCGAAAGCAUGGGGAGCGAACAGG
rnacentral:rRNA from 1 species